rnacentral:rRNA from 1 species
GGCAGACGGGUGAGUAACAUGUGGGUAUCUGCCCUUUGGCCUGGAAUAACACGAGGAAACUUGUGCUAAUACCGGAUAAGUCUUUACGGAGAAAGCUUUAUGCACCAUUGGAUGAGCCUGCACUUGAUUAGUUUGUUGGUGGGGUAAUGGCCUACCAAGACUGUGAUCAAUAGCUGAUUUGAGAGGAUGAUCAGCCACAUUGGGACUGAGACACGGCCCAAACUCCUACGGGAGGCAGCAGUGGGGAAUCUUGCACAAUGGAGGAAACUCUGAUGCAGCGAUGCCGCGUGAGUGAAGAAGGCCCUUGGGUUGUAAAGCUCUUUCGUCGGGGAAGAAAAUGACUGUACCCGAAUAAGAAGGUCCGGCUAACUUCGUGCCAGCAGCCGCGGUAAUACGAAGGGACCUAGCGUAGUUCGGAAUUACUGGGCUUAAAGAGUUCGUAGGUGGUUGAAAAAGUUGGUGGUGAAAUCCCAGAGCUUAACUCUGGAACUGCCAUCAAAACUUUUCAGCUAGAGUAUGAUAGAGGAAAGCAGAAUUUCUAGUGUAGAGGUGAAAUUCGUAGAUAUUAGAAAGAAUACCAAUUGCGAAGGCAGCUUUCUGGAUCAUUACUGACACUGAGGAACGAAAGCAUGGGUAGCGAAGGGGAUUAGAUACCCUCGUAGUCCAUGCCGUAAACGAUGUGUGUUAG